rnacentral:rRNA from 1 species
UACGUAGGGUGCAAGCGUUGUCCGGAAUUAUUGGGCGUAAAGAGCUCGUAGGCGGUCUGUCACGUCGGGAGUGAAAACCUGGGGCUUAACCCCGGGCCUGCUUUCGAUACGGGCAGACUAGAGUGCUGUAGGGGAGACUGGAAUUCCUGGUGUAGCGGUGAAAUGCGCAGAUAUCAGGAGGAACACCGGUGGCGAAGGCGGGUCUCUGGGCAGUAACUGACGCUGAGGAGCGAAAGCGUGGGGAGCGAACAGG